rnacentral:misc_RNA from 1 species
UACCAGCACCCCGAGUGGUCGGGACGAUUAUUGGGCGUAAAGCGCGCGCAGGCGGCCUCUUAAGUCUGAUGUGAAAGCCCCCGGCUCAACCGGGGAGGGCCAUUGGAAACUGGGAGGCUUGAGUAUAGGAGAGAAGAGUGGAAUUCCACGUGUAGCGGUGAAAUGCGUAGAGAUGUGGAGGAACACCAGUGGCGAAGGCGACUCUUUGGCCUAUAACUGACGCUGAUGCACGAAAGCGUGGGGAGCAAACAGG